GUAGGGAAUAUUGGGCAAUGGAGGCAACUCUGACCCAGCCAUGCCGCGUGCAGGAUGACGGCCCUCUGGGUUGUAAACUGCUUUUAUACGGGAAGAAAAAAUACUACGUGUAGUAUACUGACGGUACCGUAAGAAUAAGGAUCGGCUAACUCCGUGCCAGCAGCCGCGGUAAUACGGAGGAUCCAAGCGUUGUCCGGAUUUAUUGGGUUUAAAGGGUGCGUAGGCGGAUCUUUAAGUCAGUGGUGAAAGCCUGCAGCUUAACUGUAGAAUUGCCAUUGAAACUGAAGAUCUUGAAUGUGGUUAAAGUAGGCGGAAUGUAUCAUGUAGCGGUGAAAUGCUUAGAUAUGAUACAGAACACCGAUAGCGAAGGCAGCUUGCUGAACCAUUAUUGACGCUGAGGCACGAAAGCGUGGGGAGCGAACAGGAUUAGAAACCCCGGGAGUCC
rnacentral:rRNA from 1 species